rnacentral:rRNA from 1 species
CCCUUAGAGUUUGAUCCUGGCUCAGGACGAACGCUGGCGGCGUGCCUAACACAUGCAAGUCGAACGGGACCGGGGGCAACUUCGGUUCAGUGGCGGACGGGUGCGUAACACGUGAGGAACAUGACCUUCGGCGGGGGAUAGCCGGCCCAACGGCCGGGUAAUACCGCGUACGACCUUUCGGGGACAUCCCUGGAUGGUGAAAGCAGCAAUGCGCCGAUGGAGUGCCUCGCGGCCUAUCAGCUAGUUGGUGGGGUAACGGCUCACCAAGGCAACGACGGGUAGCUGGUCUGAGAGGAUGGCCAGCCACAUUGGGACUGAGACACGGCCCAGACUCCUACGGGAGGCAGCAGUGGGGAAUAUUGCGCAAUGGACGAAAGUCUGACGCAGCGACGCCGCGUGUGGGAUGACGGUCUUCGGAUUGUAAACCACUGUCGGGAGGGACGAAUACGCCGCAAGGCGGGUGACGGUACCUCCAAAGGAAGCACCGGCUAACUCCGUGCCAGCAGCCGCGGUAAUACGGAGGGUGCGAGCGUUGUCCGGAAUCACUGGGCGUAAAGGGCGCGUAGGCGGCCUGAUAAGUAGGGGGUGAAAUCCUGCGGCUUAACCGCAGGGCUGCCUUCUAAACUGUCAGGCUGGAGCACAGUAGAGGCAGGUGGAAUUCCCGGUGUAGCGGUGGAAUGCGUAGAGAUCGGGAAGAACAUCAGUGGCGAAGCGGCCUGCUGGGCUGUUGCUGACGCUGAGCGCGACAGCGUGGGAGC